rnacentral:rRNA from 1 species
GACGAACGCUGGCGGCGUGCUUAACACAUGCAAGUCGAACGGUGAAGCGCCUUCCCUUUUGGUGGGUGUGGAUGAGUGGCGAACGGGUGAGUAACACGUGAGUAACCUGCCCCCUUCUUCUGGAUAACCGCAUGAAAGUGUGGCUAAUACGGGAUAUUCUGGGUCUGUCGCAUGAUGGGUCUGGGAAAGAUAUUGUUUCGGUGGGGGAUGGGCUCGCGGCCUAUCAGCUUGUUGGUGGGGUGAUGGCCUACCAAGGCGGUGACGGGUAGCCGGCCUGAGAGGGUGGACGGUCACACGGGGACUGAGACACGGCCCAGACUCCUACGGGAGGCAGCAGUGGGGAAUAUUGCACAAUGGGCGCAAGCCUGAUGCAGCGACGCCGCGUGAGGGAUGGAGGCCUUCGGGUUGUGAACCUCUUUCGCCAGUGAAGCAGGCCUGCCUCGUUUGUGGGUGGGUUGACGGUAGCUGGAGAAGAAGCGCCGGCUAACUACGUG